AUGAUUUUGACUUUAAACAUGACUUUUACAGUGAAAUUGGUUGUUCAACUCAAUUUUUACAUAAAUGUAUCCAAACAUAAAUCACUUCACAUCCAACUUAUAAUUAUCAAAAUCAAUUCUACAAAGUCUACUCACUCAGAAUCAAUUCUCGUCACCGUAGAACCAAACACACACGGGAAUGUUUGGUUUCACGUUUGGAGCAC